UAAAAGGGCAGAAAGACGCGUGAUUAAUGAGCGACGUUCACCUUUUACCUGGCAUCUACCUGCAGGAGCUGCUGUGUUGGAGCUGUGGAGCCACGGAGCUGCAGCGCUCUGUGUAAUUCACUGCAGGGAGAGCAAUGAGUGACAAAGGCCGCACCUCUAACGAGCAUCAGUGGCUGCAGCGAGAUGAUUUGUGAGACAGGAAGAGGAAACGGGGGAUGACACCAUGAUUCACAGGCCACCAGCUGAAAAGAACGACCCCACCCUGGAGGUAUGGACGAGCUUCUCAUCACUCUCUUACUCUCUCAUCAUCGCGUUGACUGGCUGGCACGCCCGAGGACACGAGAAAGCCAGACACAGACACUGGCAGGUUGACUUCUCAGUGGUAUGGCAGGUCUCAGUGUAUCUUUCGAGGUCGUGACCCUCCCGGACUCUGACCUGGACAAACAGGACUGAGGAGCUGCCACAGGACGUGGAAUGUUCCCUUUUUUUUGGGGGGGGCUUUUGUUUUGUUUCACUUUUUUGAUGAAAAGGUGGAAAAUUCCUGCCUCUUCACUUGCCCGAGCAACAGAAAACAUUUUCUUGGCAACAAACGAGGCUGAGUUUACACAAGAAACAUGAUGUGACCGUUUCAAAAUUAUAGCAGCUCGUGCACAGUGUUGUUACUGAGAAUGAAUUACUCUUUGCUUUUUCUUUGAUUGCCGUCUUCUAAGCCACUGAAAUUCUGAUUUAUUGUGAGGGGCAGCGCAUUUUCUUUGUAAACAUAUUUUUGGAGUUAGCGAACUCACUUGUCUGUAUUAUCUGUGUAUGUCCCACAUUAUGUAUGUUCCCAAUGCGUCUGGUCCCAUGUGGAACCACUUGUUUUUUAAUAAAAGGAGAAAGAAAAA